rnacentral:rRNA from 1 species
UACGGGGGGGGUAAGCGUUGUUCGGAAUUACUGGGCGUAAAGGGCUCGUAGGCGGCCAACUAAGUCGGACGUGAAAUCCCUCAGCUUAACUGGGGAACUGCGUCCGAUACUGGAUGGCUUGGAUCCGGAAGAGGGAUGCGGAAUUCCAGGUGUAGCGGUGAAAUGCGUAGAUAUCUGGAGGAACACCGGUGGCGAAGGCGGCAUCCUGGGCCGGUAUUGACGCUGAGGAGCGAAAGCUAGGGGAGCAAACGGG